rnacentral:rRNA from 1 species
AGCACAGAGAGCUUGCUCUCGGGUGACGAGCGGCGGACGGGUGAGUAAUGUCUGGGAAACUGCCUGAUGGAGGGGGAUAACUACUGGAAACGGUAGCUAAUACCGCAUAACGUCGCAAGACCAAAGUGGGGGACCUUCGGGCCUCAUGCCAUCAGAUGUGCCCAGAUGGGAUUAGCUAGUAGGUGGGGUAACGGCUCACCUAGGCGACGAUCCCUAGCUGGUCUGAGAGGAUGAC